rnacentral:rRNA from 1 species
GAUGAACGCUGGCGGCGUGCCUAAUACAUGCAAGUCGAGCGAACAGAUGAGGAGCUUGCUCCUCUGACGUUAGCGGCGGACGGGUGAGUAACACGUGGAUAACCUACCUAUAAGACUGGGAUAACUUCGGGAAACCGGAGCUAAUACCGGAUAAUAUAUUGAACCGCAUGGUUCAAUAGUGAAAGACGGUUUUGCUGUCACUUAUAGAUGGAUCCGCGCCGCAUUAGCUAGUUGGUAAGGUAACGGCUUACCAAGGCAACGAUGCGUAGCCGACCUGAGAGGGUGAUCGGCCACACUGGAACUGAGACGCGGUCCAGACGCCUACGGGAGGCAGCAGUAGGGAAUCUUCCGCAAUGGGCGAAAGCCUGACGGAGCAACGCCGCGUGAGUGAUGAAGGUCUUCGGAUCGUAAAACUCUGUUAUUAGGGAAGAACAAAUGUGUAAGUAACUAUGCACGUCUUGACGGUACCUAAUCAGAAAGCCACGGCUAACUACGUG